rnacentral:rRNA from 1 species
GGUCAAGCCGGGCACUCUAGCGAAACCGCCCCGGAUAACGGGGAGGAAGGUGGGGAUGACGUCAAGUCCUCAUGGCCUUUAUGUCCAGGGCUACACACGUGCUACAAUGGUCGGUACAAACCGUCGCAAACCUGCGAAGGGGAGCUAAUCG